rnacentral:rRNA from 1 species
ACGCUGAGCGCGGCUACCAUGCAGUCGAGCGAACCUUCGGGUUAGCGGCGGACGGGUGAGUAACGCGUGGGAACGUACCCUCUUCUGCGGGAUAGCCACUGGAAACGGUGAGUAAUACCGCAUACGCCCUUCGGGGGAAAGAUUUAUCGGAGGAGGAUCGGCCCGCGUUGGAUUAGGUAGUUGGUGGGGUAAUGGCCUACCAAGCCUACGAUCCAUAGCUGGUUUUAGAGGAUGAUCAGCCACACUGGGACUGAGACACGGCCCAGACUCCUACGGGAGGCAGCAGUGGGGAAUCUUAGACAAUGGGCGCAAGCCUGAUCUAGCCAUGCCGCGUGAGUGACGAAGGCCUUAGGGUCGUAAAGCUCUUUCGCCAGAGAUGAUAAUGACAGUAUCUGGUAAAGAAACCCCGGCUAACUCCGUGCCAGCAGCCGCGGUAAUACGGAGGGGGUUAGCGUUGUUCGGAAUUACUGGGCGUAAAGCGCACGUAGGCGGAUUGGAAAGUUGGGGGUGAAAUCCCAGGGCUCAACCCUGGAACUGCCUCCAAAACUCCCAGUCUGGAGUUCGAGAGAGGUGAGUGGAAUUCCGAGUGUAGAGGUGAAAUUCGUAGAUAUUCGGAGGAACACCAGUGGCGAAGGCGGCUCACUGGCUCGAUACUGACGC